GAGUUUGAUCAUGGCUCAGGACGAACGCUGGCGGCGUGCCUAAUACAUGCAAGUAGAACGCUGAGGUUUGGUGUUUACACUAGACUGAUGAGUUGCGAACGGGUGAGUAACGCGUAGGUAACCUGCCUCAUAGCGGGGAUAACUAUUGGAACGAUAGCUAAUACCGCAUAAGAGUAAUUAACACAUGUUAGUUAUUUAAAAGGAGCAAUCG
rnacentral:rRNA from 1 species